rnacentral:rRNA from 1 species
GACGAAGGAUGCAAGCGUUAUCCGGAUUCAUUGGGUUUAAAGGGAGCGUAGGUGGGUUUGUAAGUCAGUGGUGAAAGCCGGUCGCUUAACGAUCGAAUUGCCAUUGAUACUGCAGACCUUGAGUACAGAUGCUGUGGGCGGAAUAUGACAUGUAGUGGUGAAAUACGUAGAUAUUCGGAGGAACACCAGAAGCGAAGGCGGCCAACUGGCCCGAUACUGACGCUGAGGCGCGAAAGCGUGGGGAGCAAACAGG